rnacentral:rRNA from 1 species
UACGGGGGGGGCAAGCGUUGUUCGGAAUUACUGGGCGUAAAGGGCUCGUAGGCGGCCAACUAAGUCGGACGUGAAAUCCCCAGGCUCAACCUGGGAACUGCGUCUGAUACUGGAUGGCUUGAAUCCGGGAGAGGGAUGCAGAAUUCCAGGUGUAGCGGUGAAAUGCGUAGAUAUCUGGAGGAAUACCGGUGGCGAAGGCGGCAUCCUGGACCGGCAUUGACGCUGAGGCGCGAAAGCCAGGGGAGCGAACGGG